rnacentral:SRP_RNA from 1 species
GCUAGGCGGGGUGGCUCAUGCCUGUAAUCCCACAAUUUUGGGAGGCCAAGGCAGGAGGAUCACUUGAGCCCAGGCGUUCAAGACCAGCCUGAGCAACACAGUGAGACCCCAUCUCUACAAAAAAAUUUUUUAAAAAACCAAAAAACANNNNNNNNNNCUGUUUUUUGGUUUUUUAAAAAAUUUUUUUGUAGAGAUGGGGUCUCACUGUGUUGCUCAGGCUGGUCUUGAACGCCUGGGCUCAAGUGAUCCUCCUGCCUU